UUAAAUAUAUCCGAGAUAGGUGCCUUAAAGGCUUAAUAGGGAAGUCCGGUUAAAUGCCGGCGCGGUCCCGCCACUGUAACGGGGAGCAAGCUUAAGAUAUACCACUGGGAUGAUCGUCCUGGGAAGGUUUAAGCAAGCAUUGAUCCGAAGUCAGGAGAACUGCCUGUCUGACAAUCACCGUG
rnacentral:ncRNA from 13 species